CCUACGGGAGGCAGCAGUGAGGAAUAUUGGUCAAUGGACGAGAGUCUGAACCAGCCAAGUAGCGUGAAGGAUGACUGCCCUAUGGGUUGUAAACUUCUUUUAUCUGGGAAUAAAAUGUUCCACGUGUGGGAUUUUGUAUGUACAAUAUGAAUAAGGAUCGGCUAACUCCGUGCCAGCAGCCGCGGUAAUACGGAGGAUCCGAGCGUUAUCCGGAUUUAUUGGGUUUAAAGGGAGCGUAGGUGGAUUGUUAAGUCAGUUGUGAAAGUUUGCGGCUCAACCGUAAAAUUGCAGUUGAAACUGGCAGUCUUGAGUACAGUAGAGGUGGGCGGAAUGCGUGGUGUAGCGGUGAAAUGCUUAGAUAUCACGAAGAACUCCGAUUGCGAAGGCAGUUCACUGGACUGCAACUGACACUGAGGCUCGAAAGUGUGGGUAUCAAACAGGAUUAGAUACCCCGGUAGUC
rnacentral:rRNA from 1 species